ensembl:lncRNA novel transcript, LINP1-LINC00707 readthrough
AUUCUUCUCAGGGAUGGCCUUAUUAAUCAGUUUAUUAUUCAAUGGGUCAGAAUUUGCAUUUUGAACAUAUCACUUUCUACCAUGCGUGCCGUUACUUAGUUGUGUGACUUACGUUGUCUACUAAAGUGAAAGCUUCUGAAGAUACCAUCACAGAGACCAGUACAGGGCCUCGCCCAACAUGGUCUCAGUAAAUAUCUCAAGAAUAAAUAAAGAGUGGGAAGAUGACACAAUGCCGUGAAAGCAGCAUACAAGCCGGAGAGCCUACUGGAAGCAAGAGGGGAAAACCCAGCCGGGUAUGGGGGCUGCGGGGAGGAUGCCAGGUGGCGGAGACUGGAUUCAGGAUUUGAUGCUUGAACUGAACCUUCUUUUAAGAGGUACAUGAGGGAAAUACACACCCCUCCCAGGGAUGAUGGAAGGUUAAGGUCCUAACACCUCCUGCACAUCUGAGCAGCUGCACAUUGAACCAGAUAGUCCUGGAAUGUGGGAAAACAGAGGCAGACUCAAGAGUCUGGAACAUUAUUUUAGGAUCACACAAAAAAGAUACAUAAUUUUCAUAGGGUGAGUCUGUUACAGCAAUGGGAUGCCCAGGUUAAGUUUAUGGAAAGACAUUGACCUUGGAGCCAGACUGCACCAGAGUUAUGUCUCUGGGAGGAAAGCAAAGGACGUUAUGGAAGAAACAGGACACAGAAAUAUUAUUAUUCAUCAAAUAGAGUCUGUUUGGAAAAUCUGGUAUUCCCAGCACAAUGUCAGGAGAUAUCCUAAUCACAAAACAAAGUAGAAGACACAAUCCGUGCUGACCUGGAUCUCAUAAGAAUCUUUAGAUAAUGAACUCCUUGGAGACAUCAAGAAUGAGAUUUUAUUCACCUCUGUGUUCUCAGAAGACUGCACAGUGCCUGCCCAUAAGAGCGCUCAAAUAUUGUUGGAAUAAGUUAACAAAAGAAUAAGCACUACCAAGAACUGUCUUUAAGAAAACACACACCAUAUUUGUGUGACUGCAAAAGCAAUCAGAAAAAUUGGUAGGAUAAUUUCAAAUUCCCCUCUUGAAGCAAAAUCACACUUAUAAGAAAUGAAAUCAAUGUUUGGUUCACCUGUUUUAAACAAUUAAAAGGUACCAAACACAAAUAUAAAAUAAAAAUUAAAUUUGUAAAGCCAAA